AGUGACGCACGGCCAAGGCCGGCGGCCGCCCUGCCCCCGCUUCCUUUCACGCUGUCGCUGCCAGUAGGUGGUUGUGGCCACUGUGCCCGGAGGGAGGCGGCGGUGGCCAGUAAUGCCUGGGAAACUCCUCUGGGGGGACAUUAUGGAGCUGGAAGCACCCUUGGAGGAAUCCGAGAGCCAGAAGAAGGAGAGGCAAAAGACCUUAACACGUGAACGGAAAGAAGGAGCCUUCUCCAAUUUUCCUAUUUCUGAAGAGACUAGAAAGCUUCUGAAAGAUUUAGAUGAGCGUCCCCGGCGUUGGCGUUGGCGUCAUCGUCCUGGUCUCCGUCCGCCAGGCGCUCCCGCACCCUUGCUGACCCUGCCGCCCGCAGCCCUGGCGCUCCCUGCGGGCCCUGCCGAGGCUGUGCCAGCGCGCGCCCUGAGAGUCGGUGGGCGCCGACUGCGGCCACCGCUUCUGUUGGGCGUGCGUGGUGUGCUUCUGGGCCGAGGAGGAUGGGCCCUUCACGUGCCCCGAGUGCGCCAACGACUGCUGGCAGCACGCCGUGGAGCCUGGCCGGCUCCCGCGUAGCCGCCGCCUUCUGGCGCUCGAGGCGGUGACCGUGGCGCCGGCGCGCAAUGGCCGGGCCAGCGAGGCCUAGCUGCAGCUGCUGUGCCGCACUGACGCCAGCCCGCUCUGCGCCGCCUGCCGCCUGGCUGCGGGCCUCGAGCCACCCGAGUGGGAGCCGCGCUGGAGGAAGGUGCUGUGCGGCAAGGAGAACAAGGAGUCUGUGGAAAUCAUGAGAAAGAACUUGAAUGACGCCCGGGACCUGCAUGACCAGGCGGAGUCAGCCGCUGCAGUGUGGAAGGGACACGUGAUGGACCAUAGGAAGAAGGACUGACCAACUACAAGAAGCUGCGGGCCUUCUUUGUGGAGGAGGAGGAGCACUUCCUGCAGGAGGCUAAGAAGGAGGAGGGGCUCCUCAGGGAGGGGCUUCUCGCUCAGAUCACUGCUGAGACAAAGCACCGGAACCUGGGCCUCAGCAUGCUGCUGCAGUGAUGGCGCCAACCCGCGGCAGUCCCAGAGCUGGAGGCAGGAGGAUGGAUCCUCAUCUCCCUGGGAAGUGUCAGCGUGUGGCUGUCAGGGAAGUGUGGAAGGCGCCCAGCCUUGGGUCCAUUUAUAUAGUUGUGUGUUUCAACAAUGUCUCUAUCCUUUACUCUGAGGUGUGAGUGUUUUGGGGGCUGCAAACACCUCCUGGUAGAGGCUGGACCUGAGGAUCCUUCUGACCUGUGCCUGACCCUUCCUGAAGUCCUGGCCACAGCCCAUCCUCCAUGAGUCCCGGCAGCUCUGGGCCAUGCCCUUCCUUGGUCACCCAUCUGCCCCUCACCUUGUCAUCCAGGGACCCAGACCCUGCACCUUCCAUGCGGGCCCACAGAUCCUUGGCAGGUACCUGAGGUGCACCGUUGAGUGUCAAAUUUGGGGUUAGCAUCCAGAAAGAAGAACGCACAUGAGGCUCUGUGAAGGCUGGAACUCAGGGCUUCAGGGAAGAGAAAGGAAGACGAUUGCACCUUGAUGCCUC